rnacentral:lncRNA from 1 species
AAAUCAAUGACUCUCCUCUGUUGAGUCAAUCUUCUUAUAUGCAUAAUGAUGAUUAUCCUCCUGCAUCUUCUGCCAAUAAAAGAUUCAAAGGAAAUUUAUCAGGUUAUAUGUCAGAAUUAGUACAAUAUCACAUAAUUCAUGUAAAUGGUAAUGCUUAAGAGAUACACGAAAAUAUCUAUGAGAAAUUGAUAUAUGGAUAUAUCAUUUGGUAUUUGUCCACAGUUACAACAAGAGGAUCCGGAUCAUCAAUACAAAACAAUAAGUUUUAUGAUGAUCUCCUUCACUCUCAUCAGAGUUAUGUAGAAGAUAAUGGUAACAGUUCAGAUACAGAUGAAGAUGCUGAUUUUUCAAAUUAUGAAGCUUCCUCACAAGGUAAGACCUUUAUCAUGUUUUAAAAAUCUUAUAAAGAUUCAUAUUUUUAAAAUUUUUUUCCAAUAUAAACAGGAGACUAUGAAGGCAACAACCAAGAAGAUUUCUUUUUUAGUAGUGAAGAAGAUUAUUCAUCAAAUGCAUCCUCAGAUGAAGAUGACCGUGUUGACGACGUUUCUCAAAUCACAGAUGACAUUAUUUAUCAAGCUAAAGAUAAAUUUGACAUACUUACUAUGUUUGAAAAAGCUUUUGGAAAACCAAAUCCUUUACCUACUAAUCGUCAGAACAGAAAGAGUGGUACAAUAUACCUAUUAACUCAAUCAUGAGACUCAAUUUAUAAAAUUCAGUACUAUACUAUAACCUAUAUUAUUUUUUUGGUUUUUUUCAGCUUAUGUCGAUGAAGGUGAUCCAGGUCAUAGUUAUGAGAAAUGUGGUGCUAUUUUUUGGUAUGGGGAACGUGUAAACAAGAGGAGGCAUACCAACAAUCCUAAAUUUUCAUUGUGUUGUAUGCAAGGUCAAAUCGUAUUACCAUCCUUUAAGGAUUCACCUGAAUUAUUAUGGCAUUUGCUUACCAGUAAUGAUGAUCUCUCAAGACAUUUUAGAGAAAACAUCAGACCUUACAACAUGAUGUUCUCAUUUACAUCUAUUGGAGGUAAAAUAGAUCAUUGUCUUACUAAGGGCCGUGGGCCGAAGAUGUUUGCAGUUCAAGGUGAAAACUACCAUCUCAUAGGUGCUUUGAAGCUUAAAGCUGGUGACUAUCCAAAGUUUCAACAACUUUAUAUUGCAGAUACUGAAAAUGAGGUUGACAACAGAUACAACAUAAUGAGGUAUUUUCUCUCUUACUCACUCUUCUUUAUAAGCCAAUUUACAUGAGUUUAUCACUAAUAUAUCUGAUAACCUAAACUAUGUUUAUUCAGUAAAGGGAAGGAAUCUGAAAACGACCAGGGAAAGAACAGGUUCAGAAAGGAAAUCAUCGACAGUAUCAUCAAACUUUUAGAUCAAGUCAAUCCUCAUGUUUAGGCGUUUAGAACUGCAAGAGACAGAUUUAAUACAAACGCAGAAGAGCCUUUUCAUAUGAGAAUUAUUGCCGCUCACACAGGUGAUGGCAGAAAUUAUAACAUGCCAUCAGCAUCUGAAGUUGUUGCCUUAAUUCCAGGAGAUUUUGAUGAAAAUAUGGAUAAACGUGAUAUUGUUCUACAGAAAACUUCUGGGAAGUUAAAAAGAAUAAGUAAACUGCAUAAAUCCUACCUUGCUCUACAAUAUCCUCUGUUAUUCGCAUGCGGGGAAAAUGGUUAUACUCUUGGUAUCAAGAAAGCUAAAACAAAUGGCCAUGGCAGUGACAAGGAACAGAAAGAUGUAAGUAUGAGACAGUGGUUUGCAUUCCAUCUUCAAGAAAGGAAACAUGAGAAACAUGUCUUACUUCGUUCCAAGCGCUUGCUUCAGCAGUUCAUUGUUGAUGCUUACACUAUGAUUGAGUUAAACAGGCUGAGAUAUAUUAAGAAGAAUCAACCAAAGUUUCGGAGUUCUAACUUAGAAUAUAUUCAGAAUGCGUCUAAUGCUGGAAACAAUGAUUUGGAAAAUCAAGGUAAAAAAUUUAAGAUUCCAGCUUCUUUUACAGGGGGACCAUGGUACAUGACCAACAAUUAUUUGGAUGUAAUGGCUAUUUGCAAACACUUUGGAUUUCCAGAUCUUUUCAUAACAUUUACUUGCAAUUCAAAGUGGCCUGAAAUAGUUAGAUUCUGUAAAGAGAGGAAUUUGAAGCCUAAUGAUAGACCAGACAUCAUUUCUAGGAUAUUCAAGAUGAAGUUAGAUAACCUAAUGUAUGAUCUGACUACCAAGAAGCUACUUGGGAAGACAGUUUCAGGUAUUUAUUAUUUGAAUCUGUUAUCUAAAUUAUUAGUACCUGUGAUUGAUAUAUCCUAAAAGUUUAAUGAUUUAUAUGUUUUGUUUUUUUGGCAGCCAUGUACACUAUUGAGUUUCAGAAAAGAGGCCUUCCACAUGCCCACAUAUUGUUGUUCAUGCAUGCCACCAGUAAGUUUUCUACAGCAGAAGACAUUGACAAAGUAAUAUCUGCUGAAAUUCCAGAUAAGGUGAAAAAACGAGAACUGUAUGAAGUGGUUAAAGACUGUAUGAUUCAUGGGCCAUGUGGUGCUGGUUUUCCUAAUUCACCAUGUAUGGUGAAUGGUAAAUGCUCUAAGUUUUUUCCAAAAAAGAUUACCAACAAUACUAGGGUUGAUGAUGAUGGGUUUCCAGUUUAUAGAAGACGUAACACUGGUAUUUACAUUGAGAAUAAUGGUUUUAAGUACGAUAAUCGUUACGUGAUCCCAUAUAAUGAGAAGCUAUCCCUUGUUAUAAUGCUCACAUUAACGUUGAGUUGUGCAACCAAUCAGGGUCAAUAAAGUAUCUGUUUAAGUAUGUUCAUAAAGGUCAUGACCGUGUCACAUUUGUUGUUGAGCCACGUGACAAGGAUACUGCAAAUGUGGAUUCUAAUCCAACUCCGGGAAAGACUACUGGUACCAAGGGAAAGGACGAAGUUCAAGAUUUUUUUGAUUGCAGGUUAUUUCAUUAUUAUCGUCAUUACUUUACAAAUAUAUAUAAUUCAGGCAACUAUAUGGAUUGUAACUUAAUUUGUUGUAUAUUUUUUGUAGGUACGUAUCUGCUUGCGAAGCUAUGUGGAGAAUUUUCAAAUUUCCUAUACACCAUCGGACUACACCAGUUGUUAAACUUUUCUUCCAUGAAGAAGGAAAACAGCCAAUUUAUUACAAGAAAGGUGAAACAACAGAGAGUGUUAUGACUCGAUUAAGUACUGAAGCAACUUUUUGGCGUGGUUUCAGCUUAACAAGAAGAUUCCAAAUCCAAUAGUCAAUUCAAAUCGGAAAAAAAAAACCAAAGAAAGCUCCAGAUCCAACAAACCUUUUAUAUGAAGAAAUUCCAAAUCUGUUCACUUGGAAUGGCAAAGAGAAAAAAUUCUCACCAAGAGAAAGGGGAUUUGCUAUUGGAAGAAUUAACUUUGUUCCACGUGCAAUAGAGGAUGCUUAUUAUUUGAGAAUACUCUUAAACAUCUGCAGAGGUGUUACAUGUUAUAAUGAUCUCAAAACUGUGAAAGGUGUUGUUCACGAAAACUUCAGGGAUGCGGUUUUCGCUUUAGGUUUGCUAGAUGAUGACAAGGAGUACAUAAAGGGUAUUAAAGAUGCCAAUUUUUGGUGCUCUGCAAAAUAUGUUCGUAGGCUAUUUGUCAUCAUGCUUCUUUCAGACAGCUUAAGCAAACCAGAGAUGGUGUGGGAGUCAACGUGGAAGAUUAUAUCAGAGGAUAUAGAGCGCAGAAAAAGAAAUGAAUGGAAACGACCAGGUCUCUUUCUCAAUUUCCUUUCUAAUUUAUCUUAUUGUUAUGUUUUUAUUAAAUUUGCAGAUCUUAUUCUAAGUGAUGAGGAAAAAAAGGAGUUUUGUUUACAAAAUAUAGCCAGGCUCCUAACCAAAAAUGGAACUUCACUUACAAGAUAGAAACAGAUGCCACAAGUUUCUUCGGAAGAUGUACAAAAAUGCAACCAUUUUUUGUUGGAUGAACGCAAGUACAACCGUGAAUAUUUGCAAGAAAAGCAUGAAGAAUGGUUGGCUAAGGUGACUUUAGAGCAAAAGAAGAUAUAUGAUGAGAUAAUGGAUGUUGUGAUACAUGACAAAGGCGGAGUGUUUUUUGUUUACGGUUUUGGAGGUACUAGGAAAACUUUUCUCUGGAAGUUACUCUCUGCUGCUAUUAGAUCAAAAGGAGACAUAUCUUUAAAUGUCGCAUCUAGCGGCAUUUCUGCUCUGCUAUUAGAUGGCGGUCGAACUGCACACUCAAGGUUUGGAAUUCCUUUAAAUCCUAAUGAGUCGUCUACAUGUAACAUUUCACGUGGAACAGAUCUUGCUGAGUUAGUUACAAAGGCUAAACUUAUUAUUUGGGAUGAAGCUCCUAUGAUGAGCAAGCAUUAUUUUGAGUCUUUGGAUAGAACUUUGAGAGAUAUUAUGAAUAAUCCAGAUGAUAAGCCUUUUGGUGGAAAGGUUAUCGUUUUUGGAGGUGAUUUCAGAAAGGUAUUACCAGUGAUCAAUGGUGCUGGUAGGGAGGAAAUCGUUUUUGCUGCAUUAAAUUCAUCUUAUAUACGGGAGCAUUGCAAAGUUUUGGAGCUAACAAAAAACAUGAGACUUCUCGCUAACAUUAGUGAGCAUGAAAAAGCGCAAUAUCGAGGAAUUUUCAAAGUGGAUAUUAGAUAUUGGGGAUGGUAAAAUUGCUCAGCCUAAUGAUGGAAUUGCUCAGAUUGAUAUCCCAGAAGAGUUUCUCAUUACUCAGGAUCAUGAUCCGGUCGAAUCAAUUAUACAGGCUGUUUAUGGAAAUAAUUUUAUGGACGAGAAUGAUCCUAAGUUCUUUCAAUGAAGAGCUAUUCUUUGUCCUACUAAUGAAGAUGUGAACUCCAUAAAUGAGCAUAUGUUGAACAUGGUGAAUGGUAACUACUUCCAUCAACAUCUGUUAGUCUUUUUUAAGUUAGCUAAUUUAAUUUCAAAACAACUUUAUUAGUUAUUUACAAUUGUUUUCCUUCCGUCUGUAGGUGAAGAAAGAAUCUACCUAAGCUCUGACAGCAUAGACCCUGCUGAUACAAGUUCUACAAAUAAUGAAGCUUAUUCUCCUGAUUUUCUAAACAGUAUCAGAGUUUCUAGAUUGCCUAACCAUUGUUUGCGCCUUAAAAUUGGUUGUCCGGUCAUGUUGAUCAGAAACAUGGAUCCUAACAAAGGUUUAUGCAAUGGGACAAGACUACAAAUCACUCAAAUGGCAGAUACAGUUAUCGAAGCUAGAGUUAUUACAGGUAAUAAAGUUGGUAAGAUUGUUCUUAUUCCUAGGAUGCUCAUAACACCAUCAGAUGCAAGACUGCCUUUCAAAAUGAGGCGUAGGCAAUUUCCCCUAUCUGUAGCCUUUGCCAUGACCAUAAACAAGAGUCAAGGACAGACACUAGACAAUGUUGGACUUUAUUUGCCUAGGCCGGUUUUUUCACAUGGGCAACUAUAUGUGGCAAUAUCUAGAGUGACGUCAAAAUCAGGUUUGAAGAUUCAUAUCACCGACAAGAAAGGUAAACCUCAGACCAAAACAAUGAAUGUUGUUUUUAAAGAAGUCUUCCACAACCUUCGUUAGCUGAUUCGAUGAUUCAAUUUGAUUGAACAUCUUACCUUCAAUUUUCCUUUCUGCAAGUUGUGGAACAAUAUGUUUAGACUUCUUCUCCUUUCACUUCCGUCACUCGCCAUUAUUGGGGUCUAUCACCUCAUAAGAUUAGAUCAAAUCAAGAUUUUGCAUUUUGAAUUACAUUAUUUCAAUCCACGAUAUAUAAAUGGUCUCUAUAAUUUGUUGAAGUCCUUACAACAUUACAAUUCAAUCAGUAAUCAAUUGAAGAACAAUAUUCAUCGAUUUUUAUAAUAGAUACGAUUAAACUUGAGAAUUUGAUGUACCUUUAAGACGAAUUUCUAAUUCCACUGAUCCGAAACAUAAUCGAUGAACUAUAGUUCUUGAAUUCUUUUAUUCCAAAAUUGUUUGAGAGGAAUGAAAUUGCAUGCAUUUAUCAAUCUGGAAAGCUCAAUUAAGAAGAAUUAGAUAUCAAAAU